rnacentral:rRNA from 1 species
CCGAAAGGUUGGCUAAUACCGCAUGAGUUCUACGGAAGAAAGAGGGGGACCCGCAAGGGCCUCUCGCGAGCGGAGCGGCCGAUGACUGAUUAGCCGGUUGGUGAGGUAACGGCUCACCAAAGCAACGAUCAGUAGCUGGUCUGAGAGGACGACCAGCCACACUGGAACUGAGACACGGCCCAGACUCCUACGGGAGGCAGCAGUGGGGAAUUUUGGACAAUGGGCGCAAGCCUGAUCCAGCUAUUCCGCGUGUGGGAUGAAGGCCCUCGGGUUGUAAACCACUUUUGUAGAGAACGAAAAGACACCUUCGAAUAAAGGGUGUUGCUGACGGUACUCUAAGAAUAAGCACCGGCUAACUACGUGCCAGCAGCCGCGGUAAUACGUAGGGUGCGAGCGUUAAUCGGAAUUACUGGGCGUAAAGGGUGCGCAGGCGGUUGAGUAAGACAGAUGUGAAAUCCCCGAGCUUAACUCAGGAAUGGCAUAUGUGACUGCUCGACUAGAGUGUGUCAGAGGGAGGUGGAAUUCCACGUGUAGCAGUGAAAUGCGUAGAUAUGUGGAAGAACACCGAUGGCCAAGGCAGCCUCCCGGGACAUAACUGACGCUCAGGCACGAAAGCGUGGGGAGCAAACAGGAAUAGAUACCCCGGGAAGCCCACGCCCUAAACGAUGUUAACUAGUUGUUGGGAAGUAAAAUUGUCAGUAGCGCAGGCAGCGCGAGAAGUUAACCGCCUGGGAAGUACGGUCGCAAGACUAAAACUCAAAGGAAUUGACGGGGACCCGCACAAGCGGUGGAUGAUGUGGAUUAAUUCGAUGCAACGCGAAGAACCUUACCUACCCUUGUCAUGUCCGGAAGCUCUUGUAAUGAGAGUGUGCCCGCAAGGGAGCCUGAACACAGGUGCUGCAUGGCUGUCGUCAGCUCGUGUCGUGAGAUGUUGGGUUAAGUCCCGCAACGAGCGCAACCCUUGUCUCUAGUUGCUACGAAAGGGCACUCUAGUGAGACUGCCGGUGACAAACCGGAGGAAGGUGGGGAUGACGUCAAGUCCUCAUGGCCCUUAUGGGUAGGGCUUCACACGUCAUACAAUGGUCGGAACAGAGGGCAGCGAAAUCGUGAGACGGAGCCAAUCCCAGAAAACCGAUCGUAGUCCGGAUUGCAGUCUGCAACUCGACUGCAUGAAGUCGGAAUCGCUAGUAAUCGCGGAUCAGCAUGCCGCGGUGGAUACGUUCCCGGGUCUUGUACACACCGCCCGUCCCACAAUGGGAGCGGUGUUUCCCAGAAGU